rnacentral:rRNA from 1 species
GCUAUAAACCUAGCCCAACUCAACACUAAUUUUACAAAACUAAUUUACUCCCAUUAACAAACCAUUUUAACAUUAUAGUAAAGGUGAUUGAAAAAUUCAUUGGAGCUACAACAACAGUACCGCAAGGGAACAGUGAAAUACCAAUUAAAGCUUUAAGCAAAAAAAAGUAAAGCCUACCACUUGUACCUUUUGCAUCAUGGUUUAACUAGUUUAAUCAAGCAAAAUGGUUUUAAGUUUGACUCCCCGAAACUAAGUGAGCUACUUCAGGGCAGCCAAAAGAGCAAACCCGUCUCUGUAGCAAAAGAGUGGGACGACCCUCAAGUAGCGGUGAUAGACCUAACGAACUUAGUGAUAGCUGGUUACUCAAGAAACGGAUCUAAGUCCAACCUGAAACCAACCCAAGUCUACCAACACAACUAUAACUUUUCAGCGUAAUUCAAAUAAGGUACAGCCUAUUUGAAACAGGAUACAACCUAAGCCAAUGGAUAAGAUUAGCCUCAUAAACAACCAAGUGGGCCUAAAAGCAGCCACCUUUUAAAUUGCGUCAAAGCUUAAUUGUUAUCACGCCUAAUCACUACACUUUUAUCUUAAUCCACUACCAAUACUGAGUAAUUCUAUAACACUAUAGAAAAUUUUAUGUUAAAACUAGUAACAAGAAGAAGAACCUUCUCUUUAAUGUAAGUGUAAAUCAAAAUGGACAAGCCAUUGAUACUUAUCACCCAUGAACCUAAAGUAGUAACAAACCAAGAAAAAUCUACUUUUACCAAUGUUAAUCUAACACAAGAACAUUACAAGAAAGAUUUAAAAAAUAAGAAGGAACUCGGCAAAUCUUAGCCUCGCCUGUUUACCAAAAACAUCGCCUCUUGCAACAUUAUAAAAAUAAGAGGUCCAGCCUGCCCAGUGACUCUGUUCAACGGCCGCGGUAUCCUAACCGUGCGAAGGUAGCGUAAUCACUUGUUCUUUAAAUAAGGACUAGUAUGAAUGGCAUCACGAAGGCUAUACUGUCUCCUUUUUUUGAUCAGUGAAACUAAUCUUCCCGUGAAGAAGCGGGAAUAAACAUAUAAGACGAGAAGACCCUAUGGAGCUUUAAACAACAUAGCACUUACCACAUACACAAAAAUUCAUGAAUUACAAAACUCACCAAGUAAAAUGUCUAUAAGUUUUUGGUUGGGGUGACCACGGAGCACAACACAACCUCCAUGUUGAAAGAACACUAUUCUUAACAAAGAACUACUUUUCUAAGUAUCAACAUUUUGACAUCCAUUGACCCAAUUAUUUUGAGCAACGAACCAAGUUACCCUAGGGAUAACAGCGCAAUCCACUUUAAGAGCCCCUAUCGACAAGUGGGUUUACGACCUCGAUGUUGGAUCAGGGUUUCCAAGUGGUGCAGCCGCUACUA